GCGGUGGAGUAUGUGGUUUAAUUCGAUGCAACGCGAAGAACCUUACCUGGUCUUGACAUCCCGGAGACCCUUAGGAAACUAGGGGGUGCUUCCAUCUGGAAGAAUCUGGAGACAGGUGCUGCAUGGCUGUCGUCAGCUCGUGUCGUGAGAUGUUGGGUUAAGUCCCGCAACGAGCGCAACCCUUGCCUUUAGUUGCCAGCAGUUCGGCUGGGCACUCUAAAGGGACUGCCGGUGUUAAACCGGAGGAAGGUGGGGAUGACGUCAAGUCCUCAUGGCCUUUAUGACCAGGGCUACACACGUACUACAAUGGCCGAUACAAAGGGCAGCGACACUGCGAGGUGAAGCCAAUCCCGUAAAAUCGGUCUCAGUCCGGAUUGGAGUCUGCAACUCGACUGCAUGAAGUUGGAAUCGCUAGUAAUCGUGGAUCAGCCAAGCCGCGGUGAAUACGUUCCCGGGCCUU
rnacentral:rRNA from 1 species